rnacentral:lncRNA from 1 species
UGGUUUCCUGACAAACAACAGAGGGCGGUAUUCAACAACACUACAAGACCCUCUGCACCAAGGCAGUGAAGCAGAAUUGUUCGUUUCCUCUCUGACGAAAAUUCGUCUUCACCUAUAGCAAGCAGGUAGUUUGCUUCCAAAGAACGGCCAGCUCUCCCGUUUCUUGUAGAAAAGGGGAGGGUUGAGUUGAGGAGCUUGCAGUCGCCAUGGGUGUGGUCGUCAACCUCGUCGCCAAAUAUUGUAUCGGAUGUUCGAACUCAAUAGAAAGGAAUGAGCACAAUUCAACAAACAGAAUGACAGGAACGCAGAGACCUAGUCUGCUGGGUGGAACUAAACUCAACAAAAUUUAAUCAUUUACACUUCUUCUUUUAUACACUUGGACUGGCCGCCAACGCGGACCGAUAUAUGCAGAAUAGUGCCAAAAUAACAUAACAGUGGAUAUCACAUCACAACGUUCCUUACCUGUCCCUCGUUAAUGAGCAGUGCUCCAUGGAAUCAUUCAAUUUUUUUUCUUAGAACACGGUGGCUUAUGAAUUUUGAAAGUUGUUUUAUCAGUGGUCUUUUAUAUUAAUGAAUAAGCAAAGCAGUGAUGGGUUGUUCCUAGCUUGAAAGGACCUGAGUGGACGGGGCAGUCUACAGCCUACAGGCACGGAGAUGGCUGUGGGGACCGAUCUGUGCGAUGCAGACCUUUCAGCACUUUGGACAGGAAAGGCCUUGGGUUGAGGGAGUCUCAGAUGUAGCCAGCUUCUUAUUACGCCUCUUCCUUUUGUCCUCAGCAGCUGUUCGCGCGUCAGUUUCGAAUUUCUGGCUGUCUGUGAUGAGACAGUGGCACCAGCCCACUCUGUCAAGAGCUUCCUGGUGUCAUGGUUGGUGAUGAUGCCAGCUAGAGCAAGCUGCAUCUUGAGCUGAUCCUUGAAGUGCUUCUUUCUGGCACCUCGAUAUUGCUUACCCUCACGAAGUUUCCUAAGGAAGAUAGCCUUCGUUGGACGGGAGUUCUCCAUUCUUGCGACAUUCAUUACCUGCCCAUCGCAGCAAGUGCUUCAGUACCAUAGCCUAGAUGCUUGGAAGAUGUGCUCUCUGUGGCACUUCCUCAUUUGAAACAUUAUCCUGCCACUUGAUGUUUAGGAUGGUGCGUAGACAGCAUUGGUGUCAAAGGCCAAAGGCCAUUGCUGACUUCGCAACUGACUGUGUGCUGAGUGUGUCGUCUGUGUGAGCAACCAAGUUAUCUUAGUUAUCAGCCAACAGGAGCUCUAGGACUGGCUGCUCCAAAGUCUUCGUAGGUGUCGUCUACAAUAUUGAUUUUCACGUUGACUGCCACGCACGAUUUGAAGGGCGUGCCAAUUUGCCAAGCGCUGUACGCAUGCUUGCAUAUUUAAUAGGUACCUUUCGGGUGUCUGUUUGAACAUGAGCAUUUUACAGAUAUACGCCCUCAACACUGCCAGCAGCGUAUUUGUUGUGUUCUUCGAUGAUGCCAGUGUAUUUGAUUUACAUUAAAAUAGCAUUUCAUAUCCUACUGGUAUACUCGUAGUGGCAGAAUCUGGUUUACCUGUGACUACGAGUAUACUUGUAGUCGGCAGUCAACGUGUUAACUUCACGAAGCAUCAUGCUGAAGAAUAUGGAGAACAGCGUUGGGGCCAGUAUACAUCCUUGUUUGACGCCAUUGCAGAAAACACAAAAAUAAUCACUGACGCCGGGAACUGAGACAAAUAUCCUCAAAGCCGCGCAUCCGCAUGCAGUUCCUACGCUUUUUCCUUGGCAAUGGCCCAAAUCUGCUAUUAACAACUGUUUGUUGAGUAGGCCUAUAGGUUGAAUAUGAUUGUAAAAGGCAAAAUGAAGCCCGCAAUUGGUUUUAAAAGGGCUUGGUUACACAGUUUUGGCGUGCUCCUCAGUAAAUUUUUGUCCUGCAGCCAAACUGCCAAACCGAGCCAAAAAUCAUCGAACAUGGCACUUUUGAUCAAACCAAACUUGAUGGCACUUUCGAUCAAUCCAAAUCUGAUAAAAAAAAGCAAAAACAACGAAAAACAGGUAACAGUUUGCGAGUUUGACACUGCAAACUUCGGCACACAUGCGCGUUCAGACAAACGAUGGCUGUGAAAUGCAUGUGGUGAGAAUUCACUAAUAAUCAACAGAGAAGAUGGAAGGUAUGGCAUUUCCGCUGCUCAACAAUGCCCGAGUCUCACUACAUCCGAUUGUGCUUAUGUAUAUUCAGACAUUCAUCAUGUACGUCAAUCUCCAAAAAAUGCGCCUUCAUGUUUCAUAUUAGGCCAAUGAUGUCACAAAUAGCCGUAAAAGGCGAUCUUUGAUUGGAUGAAUGUUGACGGUACGACUCGUGCUCGAUCUUAAGGCAACACGGAAAAAAGCCGAUUUUGCCGGGCGGACCAGCGCUUAAGCGCGCAACCAGAUUUAGUGAACGAGGUGGCCAAUAAACUUGUCUCUUGUUUAAUCCAGUGGUUGUAUGUAUACGUUGUGCUAGAAUUUUCUAGAUUCCUAGCAGUUGUUCCAAAAUCUCAAAUAACAAAAUGCCGACAAAAUACUGACGGAAAAUCACCCCUUUGGCCAUGUGUGUACGUAUCCAACCAUGGACCGAACCGAAUCUUGGCGCUUGAAGCACUGGUAAAUUUCCACCUCCUCUUUGUUGGGAGGCAGAAUCCUUGUGUCUGUUUUAUUUGAAAUCAUACAAUUUCGUGUCGACUUCAAAUGAUGUGGUCUGAAUAAUUUUCAAAGUAUAAUUUAAUGGGAUAUUGAUGAUGAAUUCUAAAAACUAGCCUCACAGUUAUCUCCUUCCCUUGUUGGAAGUUCCUAGCUCUAAAGAGGAUUUUGUAAAAUGGAGUUGCGUCAUGACUCCUUUUUACAAAAUCCUCUUUAGAGCUGGGGACUAUGAUUUGCUGAUCGUAUUUGUUAUGAACUACUAGUGUGCAAUGUCCAUACUUGAAUGAACCCAAACAUUUUCUCUGAAAAUAAUGGUUUAAUGCUGAAUAAGACUAGGAAGAGUUACGGCUUUACAGUGAACUAUAACAGAAAACAGUAGUUUAAGCCGAUGUCAGUAUCUUUACCCCACCCUACUAAAAAAAGGAAAUCUCACAGUGCUCCCCUCAAAACGUACAAUAUUAUAACGGAAUCUUGGCAUUUUAUAAUAUAUUUACCGUUAGUUUUCAGUUUUAAGGACCACGAGGGUGACGACUGGGCCACAACGCACGAAGCUAUUAAAACAAAUAAAGCUGCAGAAGCCAAACAUAAAGUUUUUUUUUGUCGUGGACAAUGAACUGCGUUUCAAACGCAAAGAUACAUGCAUGCAGUACUAGGCAAGCAUGAUUGUCAUAGGAAAAAACAUACAGGCUGGUAAAACCAUGCUGCCACUCGAAGUUCUUAGGCCUUAAGUUCUGCAGGGCUAUAAAUUGUUGAUGUGAUUAGAGAAGAAACGAACGGAAAACAGGUCUUCACCCUCGGGUGUCAAAUCAAUUGUUAUCUAAAUUGAAGUAUAUCUGCCACCACUGGAUAAAUAUACAAUUAUCUGCAAUGUCAAUAACAAUAUUAAGCGGCAAAAAAGUCUCCGAGCUGGCUGACGCGUCAACGCGGUGGAACAUGCGUGGAAGCAUGGUUGCCAUGUUCCUUGGAUUCUUAUACGUAAGUCAAUGCAGUUUUUCGGACAGGGAAUAGAUGAUCUGAAAAAGCAGCGAUUGCGUGCUCAAGGGAAACUUCCGACUUAACGGGGGUUUAAUGAAUGAUGGAAUUAUUUUAUGGCGACAGAACGCAACUACGAAAGCGUUCGUAUCCGAACGAAAACUGAAACCAUAAAUGUACUAAUCCAGGUCUUCAUACAAAUUUUUUUUUAAAUAUCAGUAGCAAUUGUGAAAAAAAAUUCACGAAACGGGUUGAAUUCUGUACCCGCGUCUUGCCGCCUGUCCGGGAAAACUGGUGGUCUCAUUGUUGGUGGGAUAUGUUCGCUGAUUGUUUUCGGACUUGUUAUCCCAAGCAGUCUAGUGGCAGUGCGUACAAGAAAUUUUACAAUUUUGUUCGUACAAGCAUGUAACUUUGCUGACGAUCAAGGAUCAAUGAAUCUUGUUUCCCCGCAGCGUCGAGAAAUGCAUUGUAUAUUACUGCUCUUAUUUAUCAAUAUUUGGUACAAAAUUAAGCCAUUACCUUCAUGGACAAUUGCAUGCUGAAGGUAGACUGGUAGCGAUUUUUGAGCUGUGAAUUCGCAGAAUAUCUGGCGUAUUCAUGAGCCUGGUAAUUUACUUAAGCCUUACAUCCGCGGACACGCCCGGUUGUCAAGGGGUCCUUUGUUUGUCGAAGACUUAUGACGUGCUCUUCGUGAUUCCGCAGGAUGUCCGCGGCGCAGAACGGUUGGUCAAUCUCGUGAUGCCGCCAGUCAGGUCUGUAAGGACUGCGUAGAGACCGAUGUUCUGCUCUUUGCACUUUUCCUGUAUCUGUCCUGGAAAUUAUGUUUGUGGUGCCUUGUUUAGCACAGAAGCCACAAUGAUUCUCUGGAAUGUUCUCCAUGGCAAAUGUGGGAGUGAGACUGUUCAGGACGACGCAGGCUAGGAUCUUGCCAGCAGUGGAGAGUAGCGUGAUGCGUCAGUAGUUUGAGCAGUCUGUUUUCUUGUCCUUGUUCUUGUAUGGGGGGUGACAACGGCAUCUCUUAGGUCUUGUGGGAUGGUUCUCCUCUCCCAGCAAGCAGCGAACAAGCCCUCAAGUCUGACUUGCACCAAGUCAACACCUCACUUGGAGACUUCUGCUGGGAUUCUGUCACUGCCAAGUGAUUUCCCAGAUUACAUUUCGGUAAAUGCCUUCUUGAUCCCGAAGAGAUUUGGUGCGAAGUCAAGGUCCAGCCCACUUCUUCCUUAGGAAUCAGCUCUGGCGACAAAGCGUUUGUUGCUAAAGAGGUUCUCAAGGUGCUCCUACCACACUGCAUGAUGGCGUUAUUGUCCGCCAGGAGAGUCGAGCCGUCCAAGGAGCGCACAGUGGUGCGUGGACUUGAUGGCGGGCGCCAGUCAUGGUCUUGGGGACCUUGUAGAAGGAGCCAGUGUCACCUGAAACCAGCCAGAUCCUGAAUCCGUUCGGCAAGAGCGAUACACCAGUUUUGUUUUGUUUUGUUUUUAGGAUUGAGGGUAAGGGUCUUUUUUGUUGGGAGGGGUUUGAAGGUGAAUGCGACUUUGCAGCAGACCAGUCUGUGGUCGGUGUAGCAGUUGGCACUUGGCAUUACUCUUGAGUGUAUUAUGUCUUUGAUGACCCGCUAGUGUGUCGGAGUGUAGUCCAGGAGGUGCCAGUGUUUGGAGCGAGGAGUUUCCAGGUGGAUUUGAACCUGUCCUGCUGAGUAUUGUUGAUGGACGGUUCGUGUUCUGCACAAAACUCUAGCAAGAGUGGUCCAUUGUUGCUGUACUUGUCUAGAUCGUGUUUGCCUAGCGCUCCUCUCCACUAGUCUGAUCCUGUCCUACCCUAGCAUUAAAGUCCCCCAGAAUGACGAGUUUGUCCUUGGGAUCCACAUAACGCAGAAGAUUAUGCAAGUUACGGAAGAAGGCCUCCUUGAUGCCAGAGUCGGCAUGGAAGGGUGAGGGCAUAGACACUGACGAUGGUGGCAAACCUGUUGUCCCGCAAUGGAAGAUGCAUCGACAUAAGGCGGUCUAAGUGGUCAGUUAGCAGCUGUGGAGUCAGCUGGCAAUUGCUGUCUUGAUCGUACACCAAAGAAUUGUUUCUCUUCCUUUGCCUUCCCUGAUCAGAGUAGUGUGUAAUCUGUGACUGUUGAGCUGCGAAGCGUACUCCACUAGCAGCAGCAAUGUCGACUUGCUGCCUGGCUAGUUCUAUUGCAAGUAGUGCCGUGUGCCUCUCAGGGUAGUUGCUUUCCUCUGCAUCCAUCAAUGUGUACAUUCUAGUACGCAAGUUUCAGGGUUUUUUCUUUAAUCUCCUUAUUUUCUGACCGCUAGUAGAGAUGACCGUUGGCUGCAGCUAGCUAAAUGGGUUUGGUGAAACAAGCUGGGUUUAGACCACCUUGUCUAGGUCCUCCUCCAUUCGGAUUCAGUAUAAUUUGGGGUUCCAGAUCAUUAUUUCGAGAUUAUUUGGCCAAAAUUUUGUUUCCAGCUGUCAUGUUUGUAAAAUAGCCCAACUGUAUAGAUAGAAAAUGCAUGUAGUUUCACAUAAAAACGUUUAGAGGCGUGAACUAAGCAUGUGAAUCAGAAGUGCAUGUUAUGUGUAUUUUUGACAGGAGGCUCUGGAGUUUCUUUGUGCAACACACAUUACCAGUAUAAUCAGUAUCAGUAUUUGGGGGGUUGGUUGCUUUGCUGCUGUUUAUCCAUGUGCUUGGUUGUUGUUUUUUUCAAUUCUGGACUUUGGGUUGUAACAAGUUAACAAUUAUGUGAUAUCUUCAAGUAAACUUCAAUUUUCAAUUCUGAUUGGUCAAUCCAUGGCAAAAAAAGUGUGACAUAUAACGGUAUUGCACGGUUCAUAACAAACUCUGCAUAAUGUGCUAUUCUAACUCCACUUAUUCUAGCGCCAUUUUUCUGCGAAAACGAAACGUCAAUGCAAAGACGGCACGUUUGCAAAUUGCACUCGCAGGCCCCUGUAACAAAGAUCUUUACUAUGUAUCAAGUUUGCGUGAAGAUAAAUUCGUUAUCACACUCGCGUUCGUGGAACACUGAAUGAUGUAGUGCGUCUAUGUCUCAUUUACCACUUGGCCUUUAGCCUCGUGUUUAUACAAGACACAGGUGCACCACGUUAUAAGUUAUCACACGUGUGCGAGUGGAACAAAGCCUUUUGGUAUAUGCGACACAGACGCACUACACUAUUGUGCGUUCCACGAGCAUGAGCGUGAUACUGAAUUUUUCUUCAGGCAAAGUUGAUGCAAAGUAUAGAUCAUGUUACAAGGGCCUAUGCGCGAAAACGGACCACCUUUGAUUGGUACGGUAAACUUUACAGCUGUGCGUUUGGCUUUUAGCGUAAAGAACAGCGCAUUACUCGGGUUUUGAGAUGGACCGUGCAACACUUAACAAUUGUUGCCUGCCGUGUAGGGUUUCAUGGUGUUUCGUACACCCAAGGGGCAAAUGGCAUUCAAGGCGAAACUUGUGACAUGCUACAUUAUUCUGUGUUCCACGAGUGUAAGUGUGAUAAUGAAUUUAUCUUCAAGCAAACUUGACACUCUUGCCAUGGAUCGCCCAAUCAACACUGAGAAUUAAAUUUUACCUGAAGAUAAUAUUCCGUGUCCCACUCACGCUUGUGUGAUAACUAAUAAUGGCAUAAACUUGGGGUCCAUUAACUCUGUUGUAGGAUUGUGUUUACAUGAAUUUUGAAUUUUACAUAAAAUUCCAAUUUACAGCAUCUCAUGAAUUUUUUUUCACCAAACGGUCUUUAUUGCACGCCUACAUAAAAUUGGGUGCGCAGAAUUGAAAGCUUUAGGGUGUAGAGAUACUUUUUCUUACAUUGCUGGCACAUUCAUGUCUGCACCGUCCUGUUAUUAAUGAUAAAUUGAUUGAUAGACAUGAGGGGGCAUGCUGUGGCCUAGUAGUUAAGGUUCGCAGCUUCUGAGUCGGAGGUUCGAAUCCAGCUUGUGGCAGCAUGUUGCAAGUCACUUUAACCCCCUGUGCUUCUCUCCACCCUGGAGUAAAUGGGUACCUGUGAGGGCAUAUUUGUUUUUGUUGGCCGUAUGCGUGUGCCUUUGGUAGGGCUGCAUCAACAGGGACCUGAGAUUGAAAAUUCAGGAAUGUUCAGUUGUGAGCCCAACGUACAGCGAUAAUAAUGAUGCCCCUUGAGCACUAAGCAGGGUGGAUACGCGAUAUAAGAAAUCGGUAUUAUUGUUGUUGUUAUUAUUAGCAUCUCGUGUCCAUUGGAAUAAACUUUAAAUGUAAAUAAUCACUACUCUCUCUAGUAAUCACUUUUGUAAUGGUAUGUGGCAAAAUUUCCGCUUACCGCAACAUGUAUGCUUUGUUUUCACUUUUGAAUAUGGUAUCCUUAAAUUGAAAGCACUUUAUUUGUUUCAAUUGUAAUGAAGGCCGUUAUUGCGCCAAACCUUGUAGUUGAUAUUAUUUCAGAAGCUAAUUUUAAUUUCUUGGGUUUUUAAUUUCGAAUAUUUGAUCGUUGGCAUUUGUAAAAACUAGUAUCUAACAUAUGAGCCAAAAUUGUGUGGUGGUUUUUCAUGGGAUUUUGUCGAUAUAUCAAGUAGCCUACAUGUAUUUGUCAAGUGUUGGUCAAGUAAUUUUUAUAGUGUUUUUACUGUUAAAAAAAGUCAUCUAACCCAGAUGGUACAGGAAAGCUGCAAAGUAUGGCACACACUCAUUCAGGCUUUUAAAUUUCAGACUGCAGAGAGCUGGUUUUGUGAAGUGAAUGUAGGUAGCCUCGAGCACACGCAAAUGACUGAAGUUGAAUGCUUUGGCUAGUACAGUACACUGCAGUCUGCUGUAUUGUUUGGAGCAUUCCGGGGGAUCGAGCAAGUGUUUCCCUGUUGUGGAUGAAAGUAUCGACGGUUUGGGUGUCUGGCAUGAGUCUUUACCUGCGCGGGUCGGUUGCUUACGCGACGCUGACAAGUUACGAAAGAUAGAAGAAAUAUGCUGCUUGUGGGCUAUAACAAAGUAAAGGAAAUUUAAUUAUUUUACUGCCAUGUUUUAUUUAUCAGUGUAUUUUUUGUGUUAAUUAUUUCCCCCCUGUUUGAGAAAUAAGUCUGCCCCGGUACUCCAGCUUUAGACUCUUAGACAUGUAAAGGAGUAUUAUACAAAUUCAGAUUUGGUCGAGUGAUUUUGUUUAAUGGUCUACAUGUAGAGACCUGUGCAUAGCCAAGGCACUGCUGUAUAAACCUUCAGGGUGUGCAGUCACCAUAUAUUCCUUUGGAAUUGUGUGUGGUACUGUGUGUACCCGGGCGUGGCCCAACCUAAAAAUCCAGUUCUAACAGAAACUGAUCGGUAUGUGAGUACAGAUGUUGGAAGUAAUUCUCAUUCUUCGAACUGGAUAUGGAUUUAUUUGUGCAAAACAAUUAUGCAUCAUUUUAAUGGGCUUUUCCCACUGAGGAGCUACCCGAAGACUGGGUUCCAGGUCUUUGGUGGACCACACCUAGUGGGAGUCAAACAUCCUGUGUGGAUUUGUCUUGAAAUAUUCAUGUGAUAACCCGUUUACGAUGUGGAGUGAGUCGGGAGCAACACCGUACUGUACCCAACUGUCUUCAAUCCAGUGUGUGCCAAGUAGCUGUCUUUGUUGGACAAGUCCGGUCAACUGGCUACCAAUUUACAUACUUACCUGUGGCCAAGGACAGUGUCCAGAUCGGCACAUCAUUCUGACAUUCAGGUCUGCCCAUUGAGCAAACAGUUAUCAGGCAGGGAACAUCUCUUCAGAAUUACAUCUGGCCAGGGACACUUAGUUCGAGCGAGUUGACUGGUUGUGGAAAUCCUAGUGUAGCGCUGCUUGGCGAUAGAGUCAAUCUCACUAUAGCCCAGUGUUAAAUUUUCUUUUUUUCCUUUAAUUUUUUUUGGAUAGUAUUAAUUUUCACGAUUUCUUGUAGAAUUAAAUAGAUGUACCAAUUUGGUCAACAUAAACUAA